rnacentral:tRNA from 1 species
AAUUUUAUAGUUUAUAAAAAAUUUUAAAAUGCAAUUUUAAAGAUUUAUCUAAUGUAUAAAAGGAUAAUAAGAUUU